rnacentral:rRNA from 1 species
CCUACGGGCGGCUGCAGUGGGGAAUAUUGGACAAUGGGCGCAAGCCUGAUCCAGCAAUGCCGCGUGUGUGAAGAAGGCCUGCGGGUUGUAAAGCACUUUAAGCAGGAAAGAAGGGGUGGGAGUUAAUACCUUUCAUCAUUGACGUUACCUGCAGAAUAAGCACCGGCUAACUCCGUGCCAGCAGCCGCGGUAAUACGGAGGGUGCGAGCGUUAAUCGGAAUUCGUGGGGGUAAAGCGAGGGUAGGCUGGUGAAAGCCCUGGGCUUAACCUGGGAACUGCGGUGGAUACUGUCGGGCUAGAGUGUGGUAGAGGGGAGUGGAAUUUCCGGUGUAGCAGUGAAAUGCGUAGAGAUCGGAAGGAACACCAGUGGCGAAGGCGGCUCCCUGGACCAACACUGACGCUGAGGUGCGAAAGCGUGGGGAGCAAACAGGAUUAGAUACCCGUGUAGUC